UACCGAGGGUGCGAGCGUUAAUCGGAAUUACUGGGCGUAAAGCGUACGUAGACGGUUGGAUAAGUCGGAUGUGAAAGCCCCGGGCUCAACCUGGGAAUGGCAUUCGAGACUGUUCAGCUAGGGUGCGGAAGAGGGAAGCGGAACUUCCGGUGUAGCGGUGAAAUGCGUAGAUAUCGGAAAGAACACCAGUGGCGAAAGCGGCUUCCUGGUCCAGCACCGACGUUCAGGUACGAAAGCAUGGGGAGCAAACAGG
rnacentral:rRNA from 1 species